rnacentral:rRNA from 1 species
GCAAGUCGAACGGCAGCACGGGAGCAAUCCUGGUGGCGAGUGGCGAACGGGUGAGUAAUAUAUCGGAACGUGCCCAGUCGUGGGGGAUAACGUAGAGAAAUUUACGCUAAUACCGCAUACGAUCUAAGGAUGAAAGCGGGGGACUUCGCAAGGAGCCUCGCGCGAUUGGAGCGGCUGAUAUCAGAUUAGGUUGUUGGUGAGGUAAAAGCUCACCAAGCCGACGAUCUGUAGCUGGUUUGAGAGAACGACCAGCCACACUGGGACUGAGACACGGCCCAGACUCCUACGGGAGGCAGCAGUGGGGAAUUUUGGACAAUGGGCGAAAGCCUGAUCCAGCAAUGCCGCGUGCAGGAAGAAGGCCUUCGGGUUGUAAACUGCUUUUGUACGGAACGAAAAGGUCUGCCCUAAUACGGCGGGCCCAUGACGGUACCGUAAGAAUAAGCACCGGCUAACUACGUGCCAGCAGCCGCGGUAAUACGUAGGGUGCGAGCGUUAAUCGGAAUUACUGGGCGUAAAGCGUGCGCAGGCGGUUUUGUAAGAUUGUCGUGAAAUCCCCGGGCUCAACCUGGGAAUGGCGAUGAAGACUGCAAGGCCAGAAUCUGGCAGAGGGGGGUAGAAUUCCACGUGUAGCAGUGAAAUGCGUAGAGAUGUGGAGGAACACCGAUGGCGAAGGCAGCCCCCUGGGUCAAGAUUGACGCUCAUGCACGAA